rnacentral:rRNA from 1 species
AUUUCCCUCUUUCUUUAGGCCUAACACAUGCCAGUCGAACGGCAGCACAGUAAGAGCUUGCUCUUACGGGUGGCGAGUGGCGGACGGGUGAGGAAUACAUCGGAAUCUACUUUUUCGUGGGGGAUAACGUAGGGAAACUUACGCUAAUACCGCAUACGACCUACGGGUGAAAGCAGGGGAUCUUCGGACCUUGCGCGAUUGAAUGAGCCGAUGUCGGAUUAGCUAGUUGGCGGGGUAAAGGCCCACCAAGGCGACGAUCCGUAGCUGGUCUGAGAGGAUGAUCAGCCACACUGGAACUGAGACACGGUCCAGACUCCUACGGGAGGCAGCAGUGGGGAAUAUUGGACAAUGGGCGCAAGCCUGAUCCAGCCAUACCGCGUGGGUGAAGAAGGCCUUCGGGUUGUAAAGCCCUUUUGUUGGGAAAGAAAAGCAGCAGGUUAAUACCCCGCUGUUCUGACGGUACCCAAAGAAUAAGCACCGGCUAACUUCGUG